AGAUCCCUCAAAGACGAUGAGGUAGAUAGGUUCGGAGUGGAAGCGUGGCGACACGUGCAGCUGACGAAUACUAAUCGAUCGAGGACUUAACCAA
rnacentral:rRNA from 1 species